GACGAACGCUGGCGGCGUGCUUAACACAUGCAAGUCGAACGGUGAAGCAGAGGUUGCUCUGUGGAUCAGUGGCGAACGGGUGAGUAACACGUGAGUAACCUGCCCUUGACUCUGGGAUAAGCGUUGGAAACGACGUCUAAUACCGGAUACGAGCUGAGACCGCAUGGUCAUCAGUUGGAAAGAUUUUUUGGUCAAGGAUGGACUCGCGGCCUAUCAGCUUGUUGGUGAGGUAAUGGCUCACCAAGGCGACGACGGGUAGCCGGCCUGAGAGGGUGACCGGCCACACUGGGACUGAGACACGGCCCAGACUCCUACGGGAGGCAGCAGUGGGGAAUAUUGCACAAUGGGCGCAAGCCUGAUGCAGCAACGCCGCGUGAGGGAUGACGGCCUUCGGGUUGUAAACCUCUUUUAGUAGGGAAGAAGCGAAAGUGACGGUACCUGCAGAAAAAGCACCGGCUAACUACGUG
rnacentral:rRNA from 1 species